AUUAUUUUGGCAGAUAAGUGUAAUAGAUUUAGAAUCUAUUAAUAUAUUAAUUUUUUAAUAUAAAUAAUA
rnacentral:tRNA from 2 species